GGUAAGGUGGCUGAAUUUUAGGCUAUAAAUUGUAAAUUUAUAUAUGGUUAAUACCCCUUAUCAA
rnacentral:tRNA from 1 species